rnacentral:rRNA from 1 species
GGGUCAGUAGGUUGGUCGUGCCACCGGUACGUACUGGUCUCACUGAUUCCUCCUUCCUGAAGAACCGUAAUGCCAUUAAUUUGGUGUUGCUGGGAAACAGGGCUGUUACUUUGAAAAAAUUAGAGUGUUUAAAGCAAGCUAACGCUUGAAUACAUUAGCAUGGAAUAAUGAAAUAGGACGAUCGAUCCUAUUUUGUUGGUUUCUAGGAUUGACGUA